AUUGAACGCUGGCGGCAGGCCUAACACAUGCAAGUCGAACGAGUGGCGGACGGGUGAGUAAUGUCUGGGAAACUGCCUGAUGGAGGGGGAUAACUACUGGAAACGGUAGCUAAUACCGCAUACCAUCGGAUGUGCCCAGAUGGGAUUGGCUAGUAGGUGGGGUAACGGCUAAACUAGGCGACGAUCCCUAGCUGGUCUGAGAGGAUGACAAGCGACACGGGAACGGAGACACGGUCCAGACGCCUACGGGAGGCAGCAGUGGGGAAUAUUGCACAAUGGGCGCAAGCCGGAUGAAGCCAGGCCGGGUGUAUGAAGAAGGCCUUAGGGUUGUAAAGUACUUUCAGCGGGGAGGCGUUACCCGCAGAAGAAGCACCGGCUAACUCCGUGCCAGCAGCCGCGGUAAUAG
rnacentral:rRNA from 1 species